UGGAUUUCUCUCAUCCUCUAUAAGUACUCCACCCCAUGGAUUUCUCCCCUCAAACAGUAGUCGAAUCACAAGCUGCAGCUGCUAGGCCGCUGCAAGAUCAGAAGUCAUAGAACCGACAUGCUGCUCGCAUUCAGAUUUCAGCCUUGAGAUUCAGAGAUUGCAAUGACGUUUGGGUCGAAACGCAAGUUAGUAAAUCAGAAUGAGGUAAUUCUUCUUGAUGCACGCAAAGGGAAGAACUCUGGUGGAUCAAGACCCUGGCGAUGCAAGCAUUGUGAUAAGAAAUUUACAAGUAGCUAUACAAGAAUUCGCGAGCACUUCUUGGUCCUGGUCCUGCUGCGAUGUGCUGACGGAGAUGCUUAAACUUUGAAGAGCACUCAUACUUCAGAUAUUAGACAUGUUGCAGUUGGAAGCUUUGUAGCUUCUGAUUUGUUCCUGAUAUGGAUGGACAUUGCCAUCCAAGGGAAGCAGCUGCAAGGUUGGGUUGUUGUUGGACAGGGAGAGGUUGAGCGGGAGGAGAUACGCUGCUCGCCGGCAGGCCGCGCUCUAGCAUUAGUGUGUGGUUCGAACGCUUUUGGUCGCGGAUUUUUGGUUGUGGUGGCAAAUCAAUUCAACGGUCAAGUAUGUGAUGAUGCUACAGCUGAAUGUUUUGCAAUAGGGUCAUUGACUCUUGUAAAGCAAGCAAGUAGAAAAAUUAAUUGGGUAAGCUUCUUGUGUUUCUACCAGGUCGAAUGAAUAUAUGCUCGAAUACCAAAACUAUUCAAAAUUGAACUAGAACCAUUUGUCUUCUUGCCUAGAACCGUUGAUGUAUUGGCACGCGCACCUUUCCUUAACAAGCGUGGCACCCUUUUUGAUCUUUUAUUUGCAUGUGGUAAUCUGAUAAAAGGGGACUCUUGUGGAGGAAGUACCAAAAUUUAAAAAGAAAAUCUAUGGGGCAAAUUUACUCCCUUGUUUGCUGCUGCUACCAAUUUUUAAAGUAAGUCUUUUUAUGUGUCAUGUUUACACUUGUAUCCUGAGUACAGCUGUCGGAUUUUGUUGGUUGAUGUCAGAUUAUGUGCCUUGAUUCUAAUCUUGAACAGUUAUGUGAAAAAUCAUGAAGAAUUCUUUACCCGCUAGUAGCAUUUUGAUAAGUGGAAUGAACCAAUAUAAACAUCUGGCACUUUUGAUUUGCGUGGUUCGAACCUUUUGGUACUUGCAGACGCACCUUUUAUGUGCAAGCAUGGCUCUUUUAUGAUAUGUAAUUUCGUAGUUUUCAAGAUAUAUAAAAAAAGAUCUAUCGUUUUUGAAGACAUAAAAAAGGUCUGUAUAAUUUUUGGAUUUGUAGUUAUCUUUCUUCAGUGUAAAUCUGUUCAGCCAUUGAGGGAUUAAGGGAGGAGCUGGUAGUCACUGAUUAGAUGGUAAGUUGGUAACAGGAGAUAACUAGGGAGAGGAGAGAGAAUCGCACAUGCAUGGCAAUUGCAGUACUAGUUUUCUCUCACAUGCAGGGUGCAGAAUUCCUCCAAGGUAAAGGACACGAGCAUGUGAACAUGAGCAGGAAAUGGGAUGCAAGAGCUGCAGCCUUAUUCUGGAGAACCUGCACCGCGGCUUGUGAGCUCUGCCGCCCUACCACUUGAAGUCCUCGCCAUAACUCGCGUGCAGCGUGGCUGCUCAACACAGCUGCUGUUUAUGGAUAACUUGCUCUCGAGGCCAUGCGAGACAAAUAUUGUAUAUUGCACUGUGGUGAGAGUAUAAUUAUAGUGUUUCGAUGAGAAAGCAGAGCAUUGUUUUGUCUAAUUUUCAUUGUCUAGCUUUGGAUUUUUUCUUUGCUCUGGCUUGUUAACAAUUCUUCAAUUUUGUUGAUGGAAUAACACAAAAAAGUAAUUUUUGCACCCAGCUCCUGGGCA